AACGAACGCUGGCGGCAUGCCUAACACAUGCAAGUCGAACGAACCCUUCGGGGUUAGUGGCGCACGGGUGCGUAACGCGUGGGAAUCUGCCCUUUGCUUCGGAAUAACAGUUAGAAAUGACUGCUAAUACCGGAUGAUGUCUUCGGACCAAAGAUUUAUCGGCAAGGGAUGAGCCCGCGUAGGAUUAGGUAGUUGGUGGGGUAAAGGCCUACCAAGCCGACGAUCCUUAGCUGGUCUGAGAGGAUGAUCAGCCACACUGGGACUGAGACACGGCCCAGACUCCUACGGGAGGCAGCAGUGGGGAAUAUUGGACAAUGGGCGCAAGCCUGAUCCAGCAAUGCCGCGUGAGUGAUGAAGGCCUUCGGGUCGUAAAGCUCUUUUACCAGGGAUGAUAAUGACAGUACCGGGAGAAUAAGCUCCGGCUAACUCCGUGCCAGCCGCCGCCGUAA
rnacentral:rRNA from 1 species